rnacentral:rRNA from 1 species
ACGGAAGGCAGCAGUGGGGAAUAUUGCACAAUGGGCGCAAGCCUGAUGCAGCAACGCCGCGUGGGGGAUGACGGCCUUCGGGUUGUAAACCUCUUUUAGUAGGGAAGAAGGGCUUCGGCUUGACGGUACCUGCAGAAAAAGGACCGGCUAACUACGUGCCAGCAGCCGCGGUAAUACGUAGGGUCCGAGCGUUGUCCGGAAUUAUUGGGCGUAAAGAGCUCGUAGGCGGUUUGUCGCGUCUGCUGUGAAAUCCCGAGGCUCAACCUCGGGUCUGCAGUGGGUACGGGCAGACUGGAGUGCGGUAGGGGAGAAUGGAAUUCCUGGUGUAGCGGUGGAAUGCGCAGAUAUCAGGAGGAACACCGAUGGCGAAGGCAGUUCUCUGGGCCGUAACUGACGCUGAGGAGCGAAAGCGUGGGGAGCGAACAGGAUUAGAUACCCUGGUA